ACUGCCCUACACGAAAAUCGAAACAAAGGGAAUCAAAACAAAAGACACACGCAGACCAACGGGAGGACGAGACAUGAGGGACGGGCGGGACCAGACCGGACACGGCGGGAACGAGGGGAGCCACAGCACGGCCGGGAGGGCAGAAACAACACAACAAAGCGGAGAGAGAGAGGAGAGACGAGUUUUUGGCCAGCAGGAGCCUGUUCAGGAGCGCACCCUAUGAGGCCCCUCUACCCCCUGCCCUCACUGACUCCUGCCCCAGGGCCGUGCGGAUCAGUGCCAUGAGAGUGGAAUUGAAAUGGACAGUGUUGUCAUCUGCCACAGGCCGGCCUGGAGUUGAGAUCCUCCUGCCUCAGCCUACCCAGUCACUGGAAUCCCAGGCUUGAGCCCCUGCCCAAAUCACCCCUGCACUCUUGAAAUCCCACCUCUUGGACCCCAGCGCGGGCCCGGCUGGUGCUGCCCUCAGAGUUUUUCCGCCUGGCCCCAGUCCUGGUCCAUGCCAGCCCCGAAGAGAAGGCGCAAAGCCGGGCCUAGCGCACAUGCAGCAGCCAGGCAGCGUCCAGGCCUCAGCCGCCGGCGCCCCCCGCCCCCCGGGCCAAUGGCUCUGGCGGUCAUUCCGGGAGACGCAGGCGGCGGCCAGGCAUGCAGCGAGGCGCACACGGAAGGCACAGACAGGGCGCAUGCGACGAAUCUCGAGACUCAGUCAUAGCCCGGUGGGACGUGUGUCGGGGCGUCCGGGCCUGGCUGUCUGCGGUAGCAGGGGGUGGGGGGUGGGGCCUGUGCCCCAGGCAGGCGGUCUGCGCCCUGCGCUUAGGGGCCAGGGAGGGGACGCUGGGCUGGUGACUGGGGAUGGGGGUGCAGGGCAGGUUGGGGCUCCCUGAGGGAGGGCACAGUAAACUGGGAGCGUUCAAGGGGUUGAGGUUGGGGCAGGGAGGGAGCCAGUCGGUAGAAAAACGGACAAGGGGUGUGCACAGCUGUGGAUGUGGGGACUACACAAAGGAUUACUAUUUUAUUUUUAUUUUUUGAUACAAGGUCUUGCUCUGCAGUGCAGGCUGGCCUUGAACUCAUGGCAACCCUCCUGCCUCAGCCUCCUGUGUUGAUUUAUAGGCUUUGCACUACCAAAGCAUGGCUCGGCUCCCUACUUUAGAAAUCAUGAAUUUCUUUUUUCUUCCAUAGUGGAAAUUGAACCUUAGGACUUUGUAUUGAGCUACAUUUGCAGCCCUUCAAAAAUAAUUUGAAUUUGUGGAAACCUUUUGCUCAGUCUGGGAUCAGAUUUGUGAUCCUCCUGCCUCAGCCUCCCAGAAUGCUAGGAUUAUAGGUGCACACCACCAUGCCCAGCUGCAUUUAUGCAUUUCAUAGGACAGCUUUUUCCUGGAGAGCAGAAAAGUGUCUUUUUCUCACUUGAUGGGUGAGUUUCCAGUAAAUCGUUCUGUGGAAAACUUUUUCUAUCACCCCCAAACCUGCAGAGACCAGGAGGGGAGGGGUCUCCUUUCCUCAACCGCCUUCCAGCAGAGGCCAGGGCAAAGGACAAGAGGGAUGGGGCAGGGCUGGCCGAGGGCGGAGGAGCCAGGACCUACAGAGGCAGGGCAGGGGCCUGGGUGGCAAGGGGCUACAGGGUCAGUUUGGGUAGGGGCAGGGGUGUCAUCAAGGUCACCCCUGAACUUCAGGGCAUGAGCUGCAGUAACAGAGCACAUGUCACCAGGCACUCAGGGAGUCUGGGGGCUGGGCGGCCCCUGGCCCUCAGCCAGCAUGCAGACCCCAGAUGCCACGGUGCCCCCCAGGCCCCCAGGCAGCGUGCUCAGCCUGCGUCUACACCACCAUCGGGGGUCCAGCUGUGCCUGCAGGGCUUGGGAAGGCUUCUGGGGUGGGGGUGGGGCUGCAGGGGAUGGGAGGCUCUGGGGGCUCCGUGGGAGGCUUCGGGUGCCCCAAGGCCCUAGGUCAGAGAUCAGCAUCAGGUGAGUGUGGGCUGGGGGCUGGGAGCGCCCAAGAUGGCCCAGGGCCUCUGGCUUGGGUGUGAGGUGGCUCUGGGUGACCUCACUUCGAGCCCCUGGGGUGCUGGGGCUCUGGGUCCUCCCCGCCGCCCCCCGCCCCCCCUAAUGUGGCCAUAAUGGAGUCUCAGGACACGAAGACACUCAUCAAAGGACAGACAGGCUGUACUGCUUUGUCAGGGAUGGUCAUGACCCGGGCACUCGGGAGAAAAGAAAAAAGGAGGGAAAAACAGAAAAAGAGAAAGAGGAAAAAAAAAAGAAGAGGUGGAGGAGACGGCUGGAAGACUCGGCUGGGUGUUUCCAAUGAGCACUGGAAGGUCCCGGGCCGCCGGGGCGGGCGGGGUAGACUACCUUGUAGGCCACUCUGGCCGGACACUUCUUCCCCAGCCCCAGGGGAGGGGACAUGUGUCUCAGCAUCUGAUACAUGUCCGGGAAUGGCAUGCGGCCCCUGGCAGCACCGAAAACAAAACACGGGAGGGUGGGGCGGAGGGGGGAGAAAAAAACCACAGGGG